GUCAGCAAUUCAGAGUGCAGUGGGGAAAUCUCAUCAUUGAGUCCAGGUGUCUGAGAUCUCUGGUGGGGAGACUCAAGGCUCUGUCUUUGGCAUCUGAGUCCUCACGGAGCUGAGCUGAUUGAAGAGAGGUUGCUGGCCUGCCAGGGCCUCCUCCUUCACUGUUGUCGGCCCCUCUCUGGCUGAGUCCAGCCGCAGCAGCGCCGGCCAGCGCCCUCCUGGAACCCCAGAAACCCCUUCGGUGCCAGGCUGCGGAUGCCUCCCGUCCUGUCUCUGAGUCACAUCGGCCCCCACUGGCAGCAAUGGCAGAUCACCGAGUCUGAAGCUGUCUGGAGCAGAGACGCUGCUGUUGUUCACUUCAUUCCAUUUGGAAAACUCCGAUCCUUCGGCAAGAGGUUGCUGGCACCCAGAGUUGAUGUUUUGUUUUGACUCAGCCCCUUGCAAUGAUUGCCAGGGAGGCGGCGGCUCCUUGACAUCUCUGAGUCCCUUCCGUUAUUAAUCACUGUAAAUCUGGAAUAAUCUCUACAAACAUAUUUUGUUCCCUACAAAUAUAUUUGUGCCGGCUUUCUCUAAUAAAUCUUAUGUCAGACAGGCUAUUGUCUCUCU